CCCUGACCCUUUAAGGGUCCUGAAGGAACGUUGAAGACGACGACGUUGAUAGGCCGGGUGUGUAAGCGCAGCGAUGCGUUGAGCUAACCGGUACUAAUGAACCGUGAGGCUUAACCUUACAACGCCGAAG
rnacentral:rRNA from 1 species